rnacentral:lncRNA from 1 species
GGCUGUAGAAGGCCUAAACGAGAUAUAUUUAAUGAGGUUGUAAAAGUUAUCACUAGGGUUACAGUUGGUGAGUCACCCAAACGAUAAAGGUCCCGCAUAUCUUUUUAUAUGAUCAGCGGUCUCAUUGUUGCUAUGCCCAAAAAAGUAACGUGGAGAAGAGUAAUCAACAAGCAAACAAUCAAGGAAAAAUGAAGGCACUUCUGUAAUAAAAAUUAAGAUAGAGGAAAAAAUAGGAGAAUGACCCCAAAAGGAAGAAGUAUUCUACAGAGGGAAACCCUGUUACGAAUAAGCAGAGAGGAAAGAUCUCCA